rnacentral:rRNA from 1 species
AUUGAACGCUGGCGGCAGGCCUAAUACAUGCAAGUCGAACGGCAGCACGGAUAGCAAUAUCUGGUGGCGAGUGGCGCACGGGUGCGUAACACGUAUGCAAUCUACCCUUAACUGGGGGAUAGCCCCGAGAAAUCGGGAUUAAUACCCCAUAACAUUGCGAUGAGGCAUCUCAUUGCAAUUAAAGCUCCGGCGGUUUUGGAUGAGCAUGCGCGACAUUAGUUAGUUGGUGAGGUAACGGCUCACCAAGACUUCGAUGUCUAGGGGUUCUGAGAAGAUUCACCCCCACACUGGUACUGAGACACGGACCAGACUCCUACGGGAGGCAGCAGUAAGGAAUAUUGGUCAAUGGGCGCAAGCCUGAACCAGCCAUGCCGCGUGAAGGAUGACGGCCCUACGGGUUGUAAACUUCUUUUGUACGGGAAAAAACCACCGGUCGUGAACCGGUGCUGAUGGUACCGUAAGAAUAAGCAUCGGCUAACUCCGUGCCAGCCGCCGCAGUAA